UACGGGGGGGGGCAAGCGUUUGUUCGGAAUUACUGGGCGUAAAGGGCUCGUAGGUGGCCAACUAAGUCGGACGUGAAAUCCCUCAGCUUAACUGGGGAACUGCGUCCGAUACUGGAUGGCUUGAGUUUGGGAGAGGGAUGCGGAAUUCCAGGUGUAGCGGUGAAAUGCGCAGAUAUCGGGAGGAACACCAGUGGCGAAGGCGGAGACCUGGGCCGAUACUGACGCUGAGGUGCGAAAGCGUGGGGAGCAAACAGG
rnacentral:rRNA from 1 species